UACGGAGGGUGCAAGCGUUAUCCGGAUUCACUGGGUUUAAAGGGUGCGUAGGUGGGCAGGUAAGUCAGUGGUGAAAUCUCCGGGCUUAACCCGGAAACUGCCAUUGAUACUAUUUGUCUUGAAUACCGUGGAGGUCAGCGGAAUAUGUCAUGUAGCGGUGAAAUGCUUAGAUAUGACAUAGAACACCAAUUGCGAAGGCAGCUGGCUACACGAAUAUUGACACUGAUGCACGAAAGCGUGGGGAGUCAAACAGGAAUUAG
rnacentral:rRNA from 1 species